rnacentral:rRNA from 1 species
GACAGAGGGUGCAAACGUUGUUCGGAAUUACUGGCGUAAAGCGAGUGUAGGCGGUCUGAAAAGUCGGGUGUGAAAGCCCUGGGCUCAACCCAGGAAGUGCACUCGAAACUGCCAGGCUAGAGUAUCGGAGAGGUUGGUGGAAUUCUCGGUGUAGAGGUGAAAUUCGUAGAUAUCGAGAGGAACACCGGUGGCGAAGGCGGCCAACUGGACGAAUACUGACGCUGAGACUCGAAAGCGUGGGGAGCAAACAG